rnacentral:rRNA from 1 species
UACGAAGGGGGCUAGCGUUGCUCGGAAUUACUGGGCGUAAAGGGCUCGUAGGCGGCCAACUAAGUCAGACGUGAAAUCCCCAGGCUCAACCUGGGAACUGCGUCUGAUACUGGAUGGCUUGAAUCCGGGAGAGGGAUGCAGAAUUCCAGGUGUAGCGGUAAAAUGCGUAGAUAUCUGGAGGAAUACCGGUGGCGAAGGCGGCAUCCUGGACCGGCAUUGACGCUGAGGAGCGAAAGCUAGGGGAGCAAACGGG